GUCCAUCCGAUCCGCACCUGUCCCCGCUGUAUUACAGCUUUGCCCAGGGAAACAGGCAAGCUGACUACAGCCGUUUGGGACUCCGCGUAGCCGCGUCGUAGGCUUCUCACCCUGACUCGUUCCUCCUCUAUCGCGAACUGGCUCGCGAUGGCGGUACAUAUCUCGCUCUCUGUCGCGAGGGAGUCGAGAUCGCGGAUUUCCAAGGCGACCACCUUCGAUUCCUCUGACAGCGCUCGCACUGCCGCUGCGUCGCCAAGUACGCGGGCGAUGCUCUCCUUCAUGGUCUCAGCGCUCUCUGAGCUGUCUUUUGCCACCUCCAACAGAAGAUUGCCGUUGAAGGUGCGGCGUACCCUGGAAACGCAGCUUCCCAGGUCCGACAGCUGGUUGUCCUCCCUCCUGGUCACCAUGGCCAAUACCUCGCUGUACGUCUUGCCGCCAGCUUGCACUACGACCGCGUCGGGGCGUGCGCGGUGCGCUAUCCUCGUCUUCUUGGCCACCACCCUCCACUCGCUGUCGUGGUUCUCAUGGCUGUCUCGCUGGCUGGGGGCUUUGUGCGCCGCCUUCUGUUCGUGUGCCUUGCUCUGGGCCUUUUUCGGACGCUUCGUGUGUGCGCCUUUGAGACCUGCUGGGCGCAUAAGCGUGGGAGCCUGCUCCCCAACAGGGCCAUCCGACACAACCGGCUGGCUUAGCCUUCGCCACGGCUCGGUUUGCGAUGCGGCAUCCUUUUUCCAGACGGUCGUUGUCUGCUGCUCCUUGUCCGCGCUCUGAAUGCUCAGUGCGCAUUUCGAGCAGAGGACUACGCCCUCCAUGCCCUCCUGCAUGUCGCUUCUACCCGCUUCGGCCGCCUGGUUAGCAUCCUGUAUGUCCGAAUGCAGCUUCUUUAUACGUACAAACAGGCUUCUGGUCGCCUCAUUGAUAUGGCGCGUGCUCUUGUCCAGCAUCCUGGAUGUGAUCUCCUCCAGGAGUCUACCCAGCUCCGCUAGGUUCUGCUGACCGUUAGCUUCCUGCGAUGCCUUGCUCUUCUUUGGCGGUGUCAGUCUCUGCGAGCUCGCCGGGCUUGCGGGGUCCCUAACCCUUUUGGGGGUCUCUUUGGGGUCAACCUCACAACCCUGAACGGCUCCUGGCGUUGCCUGGAGUACCGGCGAUCGGAUGAGAUUGCCCCUCAUUACGACCACCGAAGCAUCGGCUUUCCUCCCUUCUUCCGGCAGUUGGCGCGGCGAUCUUGCCAGCGCCGAUCUGCCCACGAACGGGUUUCCCGUGUCCAUAUCUCGUUUAUGCUCUAAUUAGCUACGCGGUCCGCACUUGUGGGCUCCCUCGCUGGCCUCGGAUUUCCCCUUGGCUUCUCGAUGGGGGAUAUACCGCCCCUUCCCCGGUCCCCGACGUCCCGUUGACCGGGACACCGCCUGAGCGGGGGAUCGGAGUGUGGUCGGAUCCGUGACCUUUUCCCACUGCCCCUCGUGCAGACUAUCCAGGCCUAGAAAUUUGGCCUGGAAAUUUGUAGCUUUUGCGCCACCUUAUCCCCUUUGCGGUCUUGCAGUUACCUGCUACGUGACAGCUGCCGGCGGUGGGGUAUCGAUAUAUCGAUAUAUCGGUAUGCGCAAGCUCGCUUGCGCUCCCCACCACUAAUUAGCGAUCAGCUGCUCGCAACAAGCAAAGAAGAUUGCGAAAAUGGGAAAAAUUGUUUUUGCCUUCCCAAAGAAGAGAGCGCGAAAAACCCGUGGCCUCCUCGCCUCUCCUCCCCUCCUCUGUGUAUGGAGCGGCGCCCAGCGACUGGAUUCCGCGCCGGGAGACUCACCCUGAACGCGUAUGUCGGUCUGGCUCGGUACGUACCCCUUCCUGUCGGGCACCUUCUCACUUUUACCUUUUUCCAGGCAGUUUCACGCACGGAAAAUGAAUUAGACGCUGGAGGAAAAACAAGCGCGUCCGAUCGCUUUCACUCUUCACUUUCCCUCCGGCUGUACAAGUGUGUGAGUACGUGUGUGUGAGUGCCGUGCAUGUGUGCCUGGCCACACUGUUAGACGUUGGACAUUUGGUAAAGUGCGUGUGACGCUGUCGCAGAUGAGUUCAUGCCACAUAACAGAGCAAGUAAUUGCAUUCACACCCCACACAUUUGUCAUUAACGAUGUGUGAUAGCAGUGAGUGAACAAACCCUCGUAUAAUUAUAUAGAAAGGCAGUGCUAGUAAGUAAACUAGUAACUUACAUUUAUUUUUAUGAUGGUUUCCCCCCAUACUAAAUAUGUUCCAAGGAGUGUACAAAUUGUUAUAUUCAAUCUGAUCAAUGUUGUAUUGGUUU
rnacentral:lncRNA from 1 species